rnacentral:tRNA from 1 species
AAUGUUUUAGGUUAAAAAAACCGAUAGCCUUCAAAGCUAUAGUUGAAAUUUAUUUGUUUAAACAUUA